AUACGGAGGGUGCAAGCGUUGUACGGAUUUAUUGGGUUUAAAGGGUGUGUAGGCGGUGUAUUAAGUCAGUGGUGAAAGCCUGCGGCUCAACCGUAGAACUGCCAUUGAUACUGACACACUUGAGUAUGGACGAGGUAGGCGGAAUUUAUGGUGUAGCGGUGAAAUGCAUAGAUACCAUAAAGAACACCGAUAGCGAAGGCAGCUUACUAGGCCAUAACUGACGCUGAGGCACGAAAGCGUGGGGAGCGAACAGGAUUAGAAACCCCAGUAGUCC
rnacentral:rRNA from 1 species